AAAGAGGUCAUCCAUCCCUUUUUAAUAUUUAGCCACAUCAGUGACAAUAGCCUACACACCGCCGCGCGCGUGACAUCAUCGCCUUAUUGAUAGGGGCUUUUUGCAUCUAAGCGGCUACAUUUAAAGCUCCGUGACCUGUUUUGUUUCUGAAUUAACAAUUUCACCGCUUAUAGAGAGACCCGCUCACCUAGGAGUGUAGGAUGUAGGAUGAAUUCAGUUAACAACGGUCAAUAAAAUGCCCUAAAAGACGCGUCAGUUGUGUGGUUUUCAUUUGCUGUGGGACUGCCAGUGAGAUAAGUUUUCAGAAUGUUCUCGACAAAACAAAACAAAAAAAAAAUGUCUGUGAGAUAAAGAUGAGAGAAGCGCAAGGAGAAAAGUGGAAGCCGGUCGGCUGUGCGGAUCUCAUGCGAUAGAAAGGGGGAACUCCAGCGGCCAGCUCUCUCCCUCCACACCGCGAUCAGAGCACUGCAACGCACACAGCGGGCAGCAUGCCGACUCCCACUCUCUCCUCACUCUCUUACACACGCCUGUCGGGCUUUUCCCGGAGAAAAUUUUUGCAUUUCCCCCUCGGUUCUGGAAGUAUUCUCAUGAUCAAGCAAGGUAUCCAGGUAAUUACCGUACAUUGUCAAAUAAAGGCACAAUAAAGGGUCUACUGAUUCAAAUGAGGAGUGAAAUAUCAAAGAAAAGGGUUCCCUGUGCAGCCAGGCACUUAUCCACACAGGAGACAGCAACGAGAUGACUGCCACAGGGACACUCACACAGCCUCUGAUAACAACAUGCUCAGACUCCUUACUACAUAUACUGCACACCACAAUAUUUUGCACACAGGAGCAUUGCACCAGACUUACAUAGACUCAGAGUCUCACCUCAGUUUGUGAAUAUCACUGAUGACUGAAAUGUAUUUUAAUAUCAUUAAAGGCAUUGCACAUAAAGCGGUUAAGGAAAAUACAUAAUCUGUGUACCAGUUGACUGGCAAUGUGUUGUAAUUGUUCAAAUCGGUCUCAUUAUCGAUGAAGAUGUCUACAUAUAAACAUCAGGGUUUAAAACUGAUUAUUAUGUUAUGUUAUGUUAUGUUCUUAUAUCAUUACGUAUACAAGACUAAGUACAAUGUUCAGGAUCAUGCACCCUUUAUGAAUGCUUUUUAUUUCUUCAUUAAUAGUUUUCUCUCUGAUAUCUCACACGGUGACCUAAAAUGUACUCUUGAAGAAAUUGGAAAUUUUGAAUUCUUUGCAGACUUUUUUUUUCCACCCAAAGAUUCGCUUUUUUUUUUAAACAAACUGAAAAUAAAUCACUAUAUCCACUAUUUUCAUUUGGAAUAUUUACUUCGAUGCAGAUAUAUGAGCUAUAACUGGCUUGAUCUUGUUGAUCUUAUGAUAGGAUGUAAGAUAAUGAUGCAAUGGAAGAAACACGCUUGUGGUUGGUGUGUGAAAUGGUUGAAGGCAAAAUCUGGCCUCCGAGAAUGUGUGAGAGUUUAACAUUAUAAAUACACUUUCCCUCCCGCUAGCUUACAGACAGCUUCAAGGACUAUUUUACAUGUAAAUAUUCACUCUGAAAAAAAGCCAGAUCAUUAAUUAUUGAGAGCCGUAAAGAAGUGUAAUACUUCAGUGUUAAACACAUGCAUCUGAUAUCUCAUUAGCUGAGGCUGAGGAUGAACUUGGAAGGAGGAAAGCUAUUCUUCAAAUAGUUUAGCUAGAAUGAAACAAAAUGGUGGAUAUUCAGUGUAAUAUUAUUCGUGUUUCUGGUUUUCAGAUUACAGAUCAGGGUUAGUGCUAGACUAUAGAUCAUUUUUAAUCAGGCUCACACUUUAAUUGCAGUCUAAAAUUGUCCUGAUAGCCAGCCAUGGGAUGUGUUUUAUCUUUUCUUUUCACAUAUUUACUUAAGAUAGACUUAAAGAAAUGGUUUAUAUCUGCAAAGAUGUGAUGAUGAUGUUGAUGAUGUUGAUAAUAAUAACAUCUUUAAAAUAUCUUUUCUCUUCUAUAUAUCCAGUCUUCUGAAAAUAUGGCUGCUUCCUGAACCAUGAUCAAGUAAUUUCACUUUUUUUUUAGACCAAUUAUGAAUUGUAAAUAUUUUUCCCCCAAAGCAUCGCAGUACAAAAAUCAUUGUUAAAACAAACAUUUGGAAAACUGGGCCUUGAUUGAUUAAAGGAAAUGAAAACAAAUAUUUAUUCAUCUUAAAUGGUGACAUGAGAUACCGGGUAAUUUUGAUGUUAAAGAUAUAACAAGAAGUAACAUGAAUAAAACAUUCUUUCAUGGAUGAGCUGACUGAGAUGACAUUGAGUAUUCAGAGACAAACGCCUGGCAUUGACGUCUAUAUGAAUCUAUGGGCUCUAUGAAUCUAUAUGGCCAAAAGACUUGAUAAUCUUUCAUACUUGUCAAAAGUUUAGAGUCGAACUUUCCUCAUGUAUGGCCAGGCAGGCUGCAUUCUGGCACCCAUCGUCUUUGUUACAUUAUGGCCUGUGGCUGAGCUCUUGACAGGUUGUCACAAGGUGAUAGGACUCAAGUGGAGACACUAGAAAGGUGGCACUUAAGAGCACAAGGAGUUUGACUUCCGGGUGUGCCGUGGAGCCUGACAGUGGAGCAGCCCUUGAAGGAGUGCACUCACACACCAGUGUGAUUGGAAUGUCCCGUAAAUGAGAGCUCUGCUUUAGAUGUAACAAUGCCGACAAAUGAAAGAACUGGCAAGAACUAAGAAAUGUGGAAUCUCAUGCAAAAAAAAUUCCCCUGAAGUGUCCCCCACUCUCCCAUUUUUUUUAUUUUUUAAAUUUAUUGAAUCCAAAGUUUCUAAGAGUCUUGAUACAGCUAAAUGCAAAUUAAAAUGAUUGUUCUGGACAUACGUUCAUAUAUGUUCACAAUAAAAUAAAUGAUUUUUAUGCAUGAAA